rnacentral:rRNA from 1 species
GGCGUGCCUAAUACAUGCAAGUCGAGCGAACUGAUUAGAAGCUUGCUUCUAUGACGUUAGCGGCGGACGGGUGAGUAACACGUGGGCAACCUGCCUGUAAGACUGGGAUAACUUCGGGAAACCGAAGCUAAUACCGGAUAGGAUCUUCUCCUUCAUGGGAGAUGAUUGAAAGAUGGUUUCGGCUAUCACUUACAGAUGGGCCCGCGGUGCAUUAGCUAGUUGGUGAGGUAACGGCUCACCAAGGCAACGAUGCAUAGCCGACCUGAGAGGGUGAUCGGCCACACUGGGACUGAGACACGGCCCAGACUCCUACGGGAGGCAGCAGUAGGGAAUCUUCCGCAAUGGACGAAAGUCUGACGGAGCAACGCCGCGUGAGUGAUGAAGGCUUUCGGGUCGUAAAACUCUGUUGUUAGGGAAGAACAAGUACAAGAGUAACUGCUUGUACCUUGACGGUACCUAACCAGAAAGCCACGGCUAACUACGUGCCAGCAGCCGCGGUAAUACGUAGGUGGCAAGCGUUAUCCGGAAUUAUUGGGCGUAAAGCGCGCGCAGGCGGUUUCUUAAGUCUGAUGUGAAAGCCCACGGCUCAACCGUGGAGGGUCAUUGGAAACUGGGGAACUUGAGUGCAGAAGAGAAAAGCGGAAUUCCACGUGUAGCGGUGAAAUGCGUAGAGAUGUGGAGGAACACCAGUGGCGAAGGCGGCUUUUUGGUCUGUAACUGACGCUGAGGCGCGAAAAGCGUGGGGAGCAAACAGGAUUAGAUACCCUGGUAGUCCACGCCGUAAACGAUGAGUGCUAAGUGUUAGAGGGUUUCCGCCCUUUAGUGCUGCACCUAACGCAUUAAGCACUCCGCCCUGGGGGAGUACGGUCGCAAGACUG